rnacentral:rRNA from 1 species
CGUCCAUAGCGGCGGAGCGGUUUGGCACCUCGAUGUCGGCUCUUCGCAUCCUGGGGCUGAAGGCGGUCCCAAGGGUUGGGCUGUUCGCCCAUUAAAGCGGAACGCGAGCUGGGUUCAGACCGGCGUGAGCCAGGUCGGUCCCUAUCUGCUGUAGGCGUAGGAAUGUUGAGAGGAGACUUCCCUAGUACGAGAGGAUUGGGAAGGACGUACCCCUGGUGUGCCAGUUGGACCACUCGGUCCAUAGCUGGGUAGCUAAGUGCGGCAGGGAUAAUCGCUGAAAGCAUCUAAGCGAGAAGCCCCCCUCAAGAUAAACAUUCCAUGUCGCAAGACGAAAGACCCCUUGUAGACCACAAGGUUGAUCGGCCGCACGUGUAAUCGGAGAAAUCCGUUCAGCGAAGCGGUACGAACGGUCGAUCGUUUGGCCA